rnacentral:rRNA from 1 species
UGGCGAAUGGGUGAGUAACCGUGAGUACCUGCCCCUCACUCUGGGAUAAGCUGGGAAACUGGGUCUAAUACUGGAUAGACCGAUCUCCGCAUGGAGUGUUGGUGGAAAGUUUUGUGGUGGGGGAUGGACUCGCGGCCUAUCAGCUUGUUGGUGGGGUAAUGGCCUACCAAGGCGACGACGGGUAGCCGGCCUGAGAGGGCGACCGGCCACACUGGGACUGAGACACGGCCCAGACUCCUACGGGAGGCAGCAGUGGGGAAUAUUGCACAAUGGGCGAAAGCCUGAUGCAGCGACCCGCGUGAGGGAUGACGGCCUUCGGGUUGUAAACCUCUUUCACCAGGGACGAAGCUAACGUGACGGUACCUGGAGAAGAAGCACCGGCUAACUACGUGCCAGCAGCCGCGGUAAUACGUAGGGUGCGAGCGUUGUCCGGAAUUAUUGGGCGUAAAGAGCUUGUAGGCGGUUGGUCGCGUCUGCUGUGAAAGACCGGGGCUUAACUCCGGUUCUGCAGUGGGUACGGGCAGACUAGAGUGUGGGUAGGGGAGACUGGAAUUCCUGGUGUAGCGGUGAAAUGCGCAGAUAUCAGGAGGAACACCGAUGGCGAAGGCAGGUCUCUGGGCCAUUACUGACGCUGAGAAGCGAAAGCAUGGGGAGCGAACAGGAUUAGAUACCCUGGUAGUCCAUGCCGUAAACGUUGGGCGCUAGGUGUGGGACUCAUUCCACGAGUUCCGUGCCGCAGCUAACGCAUUAAGCGCCCCGCCUGGGGAGUACGGCCGCAAGGCUAAAACUCAAAGGAAUUGACGGGGGCCCGCACAAGCGGCGGAGCCUGCGGAUUAAUUCGAUGCAACGCGAAGAACCUUACCAAGGCUUGACAUACCACCGGAAUCAUGCAGAGAUGUGUGSGUUUUUGGACUGGUGUACAGGUGGUGCAUGGUUGUUGUCAGCUUGUGUUGUGAGAUGUUGGGUUAAGUCCCGCAACGAGCGCAACCCUUGUUCCAUGUUGCCAGCACUUWAAGGUGGGGACUCAUGGGAGACUGCCGGGGUCAACUCGGAGGAAGGUGGGGAKGACGUCAAAUCAUCAUGCCCCUUAUGUCUUGGGCUUCACGCAUGCUACAAUGGCCGGUACAGAGGGUUGCGAAACCGUGAGGUGGAGCUAAUCCCAAAAAACCGGUCUCAGUUCGGAUUGGGGUCUGCAACUCGACCCCAUGAAGUCGGAGUCGCUAGUAAUCGCAGAUCAGCAACGCUGCGGUGAAUACGUUCCCGGGCCUUGUACACACCGCCCGUCAAGUCACGAAAGUCGGUAACACCCGAAGCCGGUGGCCUAACCCUUGUGGGGGGAGCCGUCGAAGGUGG